GACCGCCUGGAGGAGGACCCGGCGUGUGAGGAGGGUGCGGGGGUCGGGGCAGGGACCGGAGUCUAGGGGACUGAGGGACCAAGAGGAACAGAGACGCAGGCCCGGGACUGGGGCACCGGGGUGGGAGAUGGAAAUGGAAAACCUGGGCCAGGACUGAACCCAGCCAGGCCUGGGACUGGGUUCUGGAAAUAAGAGUGCGGAUGGCGGCUUGGGGGCCCAGGGCCAGACACGCAGGCCUAUGGAUUGGGGACCAAUGGAUGGAGACCCAGGUCCAGGUCUCGGGGACCCAGGGACAGAGACCCAGGCCCAAGACUGGAGGACAUCUAGGGCUCUGUGCUUGAACCUGAUUUGAGGUUCCCACAAUGGGGCCAGGGCAGGUUUGGGGGUGAAGCAGACGUCCUGGACCCGAGAGAGCCGCUGGGGAUGGGGGGCAGAUGUAGUUCCUAAGGGUGAGUCCACAGGCGGUGGGGGGUGGGGGGCUGUCCUGGCGCUCUGGGCCUGGGGAAUGUGAGGGGCAGGACUGGCAGGUGGCUGGGCGGGGCAGUGGGGAACAAAGGUGAGCGAAAGGAGGAGGCAGAAUCCGGGCAGAGGGCAGGGAGAGGGCCUGGGGGAAGGGACCUCAGUCCUGCUCCCACCCGCUCCCUGGAGAGCAGGCGGCCAGACACCCAGGCAACGAUUUGGGGCUAUUUUGUCUCCUGCUGUGUUUGCUAGGCCUAGCACCGUGAUUGGCACAUAAAGGGUACUGAAUACUUACUGGGGAAUAAAUGAUUGGAUGUUUGCAUGCCCGGGUCUCCGGCCCCCUCUGGGAUGCUGGCCUGUGUCCCGCAUCCUCAAGGUCUGCCCACACCUGUCUGAGCCUGUCUGUCUCUGAUGCUC
rnacentral:lncRNA from 1 species